CUAACACAUGCAAGUCGAACGAAGGCUUCGGCCUUAGUGGCGCACGGGUGAGUAACACGUGGGAACCUGCCUUUCGGUUCGGAAUAACGUUUGGAAACGAACGCUAACACCGGAUACGCCCUAUGGGGGAAAGUUUACGCCGAGAGAGGGGCCCGCGUCGGAUUAGGUAGUUGGUGAGGUAAAGGCUCACCAAGCCUUCGAUCCGUAGCUGGUCUGAGAGGAUGAUCAGCCACACUGGGACUGAGACACGGCCCAGACUCCUACGGGAGGCAGCAGUGGGGAAUAUUGGACAAUGGGCGCAAGCCUGAUCCAGCAAUGCCGCGUGAGUGAUGAAGGCCUUAGGGUUGUAAAGCUCUUUCGCACGCGACGAUGAUGACGGUAGCGUGAGAAGAAGCCCCGGCUAACUUCGCGCCAGCAGCCACGGUAAUACGAAGGGGGCUAGCGUUGUUCGGAAUUACUGGGCGUAAAGGGCGCGUAGGCGGCCUGUUUAGUCAGAAGUGAAAGCCCCGGGCUCAACCUGGGAAUAGCUUUUGAUACUGGCAGGCUUGAGUUCCGGAGAGGAUGGUGGAAUUCCCAGUGUAGAGGUGAAAUUCGUAGAUAUUGGGAAGAACACCGGUGGCGAAGGCGGCCAUCUGGACGGACACUGACGCUGAGGCGCGAAAGCGUGGGGAGCAAACAGG
rnacentral:rRNA from 1 species